GGGGAGGGGCGGGAGGGGGCGGCCGGUGCUGCCCCACCGACCGGCACCGCCCCCCCCCGGUGAUUCAGCACCCGGUCACUCGGGUGCCACCGCGGACCCGCCCCCGCCGCCGACUUCGGACCCGGCGGCUGCGCUCGCUGCGAAAAUAAAACCCAGCAACCUCCCCCUAAAUAUCGCAGUUCCUCGGAUAUCGGUUACCGGGGCGAUCCAUCCCCCCCGCGACGGGCGUUUUUCGUAGAAAGAAAAAUGUUUACCCGGCCGGAAUUAAGCCGGUCUUUUCGGCCAGUUCUAACAAAUCCUAACGGGCUGAGUUUAUUUGGAUUCGGGUCGGUGCAAGCUGCUGGGCGCAGUGGUAACUGAUGAUGAGUCCCCUGCAGAGACGAAGCUAAUCAUCUGCCAAAACUCAAAACCCUGGAGUCGUUUCAAGAAAGUAAAAAUGAUGUUUCAAACCACUACUCGAAACCCCCCAGAACAACCAAAACAAAGCAGCUACCAGCACGGAAGCACCCAGGCAACGAGAUGGGACAGGGGCAGCGCUGCAAACAAAGAGCAGGGAUGGGUACGACCAAGAACUGCAGAUACAGCUGCCGUUCGUUGGCUUCCAGUUGCAACUCAGAACAUCUCUGACGUGUCACCUGCAAACAAUUUUUCAGGGAGUUUUAAUUAUCUGGAAGAUCUAAAUAUCUUAACAGUGAAUUAAAAUUUAUUUGGGCUGAAGACAGAGAUGACACAUGCUGACACGUUUAAAGACCCCAGUGUUAACUCUACUUCAUUAACAACAUUAAAUAGUCAUCAGACAGUCAGUCCUGUGCUCAUAGAGAAAAUAUUACAAAUGUGAAGAGAAUGAAGAACAUAAAUUCCACCUUUAAUCAAAAACCCGAAGCAGGGAAUCUGCUUUUAAACAAUUUUGGCAGCAAAAAUAUUUUACUACAAGAAAAUGAGACCAAACCCUGAGAACUGGGACAGCCAUCUUUUCUUGUCAGACAGCCAAACCUGAAGCCUCUGCUGCCCGUUGAUAAAUGGCAAGGAUUCCCUUUCCUCCCCCAUCCUCCCCUACGAGCAGUUGCUGACUGCGCAGCCCAGGAAUACCGACAAUAAACCACUUUCCAGAAUUCUGUGGGGAACAUUAAGAGCAUUGUCAUUUUGAAGGCAGUAAAACUGAGGACUGAAAAUCUUAAUUCAAUCCUUUACCAGGUUAAAAUAUUGUCAUACCCCUUUUUUCAUUUGGACAGUUUUAAUCUCGCCAUAUAUCAAGAUAAAUUUCAGUAAACUAAUAUUGAAAGUACCUAAACCCCAGUUUUCCUAAGAGCCAGCCAACUCUGUACAUACAAUCGCUGGGAGUUCACGAACGUAGAGUCUCUUGAUAUACUUUUUAAGCAACGUAGGUGCAUCUCAACACAUUUUUAUGCACGAUAUGAAACCGUGACUCCCUGUUGUUAUCUGAUAUUUAUGAUAUAAACCAACAAGCCUGUAUGAGAGUCUCAAAGCAAGACGACAGCAGCCCAGGUGCUAUUUUGUUGUAGGUAGAGGAAUUUUAAAUCAGAAGUUGAUUUGAUACUUGGUGUUACUCUGCAAUACAAUGGCCAGUAUGUGACCCCUCAGCUGAAGCAUUGGCUGUUUGGCUGAGGCAAUCCUGGCAUGAUCCAGCAGUGACUCAGGCAGUAAAUAAGAUUGGGCAGGACCUCAGGAGGUUAGGAAGUCCAACCUCCUGCUCAAAGCAGGGUCAGCUGUGACACCAGAGCAGGUUGCUCAGGCCUUUAUGCAGUCUACGUUUUUAUCUGAUAGUCACCCCUUCCUCUCUUGUGGCAAUUUUCCUUUCCCACCUACAAACAUGCAGUAGUCAACAGCACAGAAAUGUACAUCAGUCAAGGCCAGACCAACUCGCAGGAGCAGAAUACAUGAAUUAAAUCUUGAAAUAGAUGACGCUUUUUUCCCAGGCAGUUGGCAUUUUCUUUCUUUGUAACAGUGAAAACCUAUUUGUUGCCCUGUGGAGAAGAGAGGGUCUGGUUAAUGAAAAAAAAAAAAAAAAAUUAACAUCGGGAGACCUUGCCUGAAUGUGUCGAGAUGACCAAGGAGCCCAUUGCAGUAAAGAA